rnacentral:rRNA from 1 species
GUGCAGCCGCCGCGGUAAUACCGGCAGCUCAAGUGAUGUCCCAUAUUAUUGGGCCUAAAGCGUCCGUAGCUGGCCGACCAAGUCUCCCGGGAAAUCCACCCGCCCAACGGGUGGGCGUCCGGUAGAAACUGGCCGGCUUGGAACCGGAAGGCUCAGAGAGUACGUCCGGGGUAGGAGUGAAAUCCCAUAAUCCCGCACGGACCACCGAUGGCGAAAGCACUUCGAGAAAACGGAUCCGACAGUGAGGGACGAAAGCUCGGGUCUCAAACCGGAUUAGAUACCCCUGUAGUCC